rnacentral:rRNA from 1 species
GUUUGAUUAUGGCUCAGGAUGAACGCUAGCGGCAGGCUUAACACAUGCAAGUCGAGGGGCAACGCGAGUAGCAAUACUUGGCGGCGACCGGCGCAAGGGUGCGUAACGCGUGAGCAACAUGCCCGUAUCAGGGGGAUAAUCCAGGGAAACUCGGUCUAAUACCCCAUAGUAAUUUGUAAGGCAUCUUAUAAGAUUUAAAGCUUUGGUGGAUACGGAUUGGCUCGCGUGACAUUAGCUGGAUGGUAAGGUAACGGCUUACCAUGGCUAUGAUGUCUAGGGGUUCUGAGAGGAAGGUCCCCCACACUGGAACUGAGACACGGUCCAGACUCCUACGGGAGGCAGCAGUGAGGAACAUUGGACAAUGGAUGGAAAUCUGAUCCAGCCAUGCCGCGUGAAGGAAGAAGGUCCUAUGGAUUGUAAACUUCUUUUGUAUGGGAGCAAUAAGGCCUACGAGUAGGUUGAUGAGAGUACCAUACGAAUAAGCACCGGCUAACUCCGUGCCAGCCGCCGC